rnacentral:rRNA from 1 species
UGAGGAACAUGACCUUCGGCGGGGGAUAGCCGGCCCAACGGCCGGGUAAUACCGCGUACGACCGUCUAGGGACAUCCCUAGGUGAUGAAAGCAGCAAUGCGCCGAUGGAGUGCCUCGCGGCCUAUCAGCUAGUUGGUGAGGUAACGGCUCACCAAGGCGACGACGGGUANCUGGUCUGAGAGGAUGGCCAGCCAUAUUGGGACCGAGACACGGCCCAGACUCCUACGGGAGCA